rnacentral:rRNA from 1 species
CCUGCCCAAUGUAUUAUAAAUGGCCGCAGUUUCACUGUGCUAAGGUAGCAUAAUCACUAGCUUCUUAAUUAGAAGAACGUAUGAAAGGUUAAACGACUUAAAACUGUCCCAAAACAUCUAGUUAAAUUAAUUUUCUCGUAAAAAAACAAGAAUAUCACAACAAGACGACAAGACCCUAAUAAACUUAAAUCAUUUAGUUGGGGCAACAUAUUAAAAAAACUUUAAUCUAAUUAUUCACUAAACCUAAAAAGAUAAAGACUAAGUUACUAUAGGGAUAACAGCGCAAUCUUUCUUAAAAGCUCCCAUUUAAAGAAAGGAUUACGACCUCGAUGUUGAAUUAAUUUAACUAAUAAAAUGCAAAAGUUUACAAAGUUGGUCUGUUCGACCAUUAAAAAAUU